UACAGAGGGGGCAAGCGUUGUUCGGAAUUACUGGCGUAAAGGGCGCGUAGGCGGCCGCCUAAGUCAGACGUGAAAUCCCUCGGCUCAACCGAGGAACUGCGCCCAAAACUGCCGUGCUCGAGGGAGAUAGAGGUGAGCGGAACUUAGGGUGGAGCGGUGAAAUGCGUUGAUAUCCUAAGGAACACCGGUGGCGAAAGCGGCUCACUGGAUCUCUUCUGACGCUGAGGCACGAAAGCUAGGGUAGCGAACGGG
rnacentral:rRNA from 1 species